rnacentral:rRNA from 1 species
CACGUAGGGCGCGAGCGUUGUCCGGAAUUAUUGGGCGUAAAGAGCUCGUAGGCGGCCUGUUGCGUCCGCUGUGAAAGCCCGGGGCUUAACCCCGGGUCGGCAGUGGAUACGGGCAGGCUAGAGGUAGGUAGGGGAGAAUGGAAUUCCCGGUGUAGCGGUGAAAUGCGCAGAUAUCGGGAGGAACACCGGUGGCGAAGGCGGUUCUCUGGGACGGUACUGACGCUGAGACGCGAAAGCGUGGGGAGCAAACAGG